UACGUAGGGUGCGAGCGUUGUCCGGAAUUACUGGGCGUAAAGAGCUCGUAGGUGGUUUGUCGCGUUGUCCGUGAAAACUCACAACUCAAUUGUGGGCGUGCGGGCGAUACGGGCAGACUGGAGUACUGCAGGGGAGACUGGAAUUCCUGGUGUAGCGGUGGAAUGCGCAGAUAUCAGGAGGAACACCGGUGGCGCAAGGCGGG
rnacentral:rRNA from 1 species